UUAGUUAAAAUCAACAAAUUCUAUCACUAUUAAGAUAAGAAAUAUUAUUUUUUGUUUGUUUCAAUAAAGUAUUAUUAUCAUAAACCUAGACAUUACAUAUACAGUUUUACCAGUAUUUUUUUUUCCUAUUUUACCAAUUAACUAACUCAAUUAUUUUUACUCAUUUUUAAAACAAUUCAAUAUUUAGUGAUUAAAAUAAUAUAAUAUCCGAAUAUCAAACUUAAACCAUAAAAAUCAAUCGAUAUUUAAAUGAAAUGAAAAAAUUGAAUAGACGUAAACAUGUUAGGUACCUCUUGAUUAAAUACUUUUUUUGAACUUUUCACCUAUCUUUUGAUUGAUUAACCUAUUCAAAUUUAAUGAGACUAAUAGUAAUUUUUAAAUCUAAAUAUCUUAGCCAUGUACAGUUUUCUUCAUUUAUUAGCCGAUCCUUGUAGUGUCUCAGGCAUUGCGAAACUGGAACAUGUGAAGAGACUGGAGAUCAAAUUCUGUGUCAGAAUGUUUAGAGAGCAACUGCACUUGAGUUUGAAAAUUGGAAGAGAUCUUGUCCGGUUGUUGCAGGACCUAGUUUACAUCUCUGAAUUUGAAGACAUAUGGAACGAUAAGGUCUCAAACCAUUACUCUGACACUUCGCAGUUUUAUCGGUUAAAGACUUCAAGUAGGUACGUCUUUCUCUGGAUCACUCCUGAGAUGUUAGAUUGGGAAGCCAGAAACGGCAUCAAAUAUGGUUCUUGAAGAAAUUUCAAUCUGGUCUUGAAAAACAAACACUUUUGAUCGACAUAGUCCGAUUCAUUUGCUGUGUAGUUCACCCAACUAACGAAAUCAUCCGAUAAGAGAUCAUGCCAAGAUGGGUAACUAUAGCCUAUAGGUAGGUUUCUGGAACUGUGUAGGCAAAAUCAUCACACCGAACAAAGUGCUAAGCUCGCUCUGUUUUACGAUUGGCUCUUCUUCGAUGACAGAAUCGACAAUAUUAUUAUGAAUGUUGAACCUGCUGCUCUCUUGAUGGUACGAUCAACCGCAGUAUCGGUCUGCUAUGUUUUAGUUGAUCACGCAUUAGCUGUAGCAGACAACUAUUCCUCGCGGACACAACAUUUGACACAUAGUUUGGCGCAGAAGCAGAGCACCAUAAUAGCCGAGAUGGAGUUCAGAAGAACAAUCACGAAGGUUAAAGGGUAACUAAUAUGCAUAUUGCUCUUUGACUUCACCACACCAAUAUUUCUUCUUUUUUUAACUUUGUUUUGUGUCUUUUUCUUAUUCUUCUCCGGUAGAGAUUAUGCUUAUAUACAUGUAUUCUCAUCACAAAAUUAACAUUUUUGGAAAAUAAAUCGGGAAGAUGUGUAUAUUUUACAUUUUUCACUAAGGAACAUUGGAAGUUUUACAUUUUACG